rnacentral:misc_RNA from 1 species
GUGAAUCAUCGAAUCUUUGAACGCAAAUUGCACUCUCUUCUGAGAGUAUGCCUGUUUGAGGGUCAGCCUAAAAAAAAAAUCGACAUAUUCGCUGUUUCUGGGUGAUAUUCUUCGGAAAUUGGGUAAUCUUAAACCUUUGGGUUUUAAACGGCUUAAAUUUUUUUUUACGAUUCCUCGAACUUUUCUAUUAUUUACUUCUUAUA